CCCCACAUGUUACCUUGAAGUUGAUUUUUCGAAUUUGUAUCCUAGUAAUUAGAAGUAAUUUUUAAGAAAAUUGCACCUCAAUGGAGUGUUAGGAAAUUAUAAAGGAGGUAAUUUUAAAACAUAUAUUGGCCUUUUCCCAAUAUUUUAAUAUCGCAUGGCGGAACGUGGAGUAGCAGAAGAUGGUCAAUUCUCAUUGAAGUGUAGAAAGCCAGAAGCCUGGAAAACUUCCAAUCAAAAUUAUUCGGCAACUCAGCACCACAUGUACAGGUAGAAGAACCUUUAUUAUUGAAUAAGAAUUCAAUGUGGAAUAGCAGAAGGAAUCUGUCAGAUUGGUUAAAAUUUAAGGACCAUACAAAUGUGUUUGUUAAUCAGAAUGUAACUGCUAGAGAUCAUUAGUAUCUGGCGAGGCCCCAAACUAUUGCAAGAUUGCAUAAGUUGCCUUUAGAAAGAACAAAAAGAACCGAACCAUAUUGGGUCUAUUCUUUUUAGUGAUUACUUUAGAAAAAAAAAUCACCAGAAAUGUGGUGCCAAGUCAAAGCUAUUGAAAGUUAAGUGACAGGUGAAUGAUGACAUGGACAUACCGAAAGGAGACAGGCUUGUGCUAAGGGGCUUAAAAUUUCAUGGAUAUCAUGGACAUGGAGUGAAGAAACAAGAAAGAGAGUUAGGUCAGAAGUUCCUGGUUGGAUGGAUCUUCGAGUUGCUGGUAAAUCUGACUGCUUGUCAGAUACUCUAAGUUACACAGAUAUAUACGAGUGAGUUAUCAUUUCGAGUUUGUUCAUUUGGAAGAACAUAAAGAACUUGACUUCAUAGCUUAAUAGAUGAAAUUUUGUCAAA